GAUGAAGAACGUAGCGAAAUGCGAAACUUGGUGUGAAUUGCAGAAUCCCGUGAACCAUCGAGUCUUUGAACGCAAGUUGCGCCCGAAGCCAUCAGGUUGAGGGCACGUCUGCCUGGGCGUCACAUAUCGUUGCCCAAUGCCUAUUGCAGUGCAAUAGGAAUUUCUAGGGCGAAUGAUGGCUUCCCGUGAGCGUUGUUGCCUCGCGGUUGGUUGAAAAUCGAGUCCUUGGUAGGGUGUGCCAUGGUAGAUGGUGGUCGAGUUAGAACGAUACCGAUCAUGUGCAUGCUCCCCAAAAUAUGGCCUCUAUGACCCACACGCGUCUUUUGACGCUCAUGACGAGAACUCAGGUCAGGCGGGGCUACCCGCUGAAUUUAAGCAUAUCAAUAAGCGGAGGA
rnacentral:misc_RNA from 1 species